GUUUUUGAAGGAUAACAGCUUAUCCCCUGGUCUUAGGAACCAGAAACUCUUGGUGCAAGUCCAAGCAAAAACU
rnacentral:tRNA from 2 species